AUACGUAGGGGGCGAGCGUUAUCCGGAAUUAUUGGGCGUAAAGAGUACGUAGGCGGGAGAUUAAGCGCAGGGUUUAAGGCAAUGGCUUAACCACUGUAUGCCCUGUGAACUGAUCUUCUUGAGUGCAGGAGGGGAAAGCGGAAUUCCUAGUGUAGCGGUGAAAUGCGUAGAUAUUAGGAGGAACACCAGUGGCGAAGGCGGCUUUCUGGACUGUAACUGACGCUGAGGUACGAAAGUGUGGGGAGCGAACAGGAUUAGAUACCCUGGUAGUCCACACCGUAAACGAUGAGCACUAGGUGUCGGGCAUGUAAGUGUUCGGUGCCGCAGUUAACACAAUAAGUAUCCCACCUGGGGAGUACGAUCGCAAGGUUGAAACUCAAAUGAAUUGACGGGG
rnacentral:rRNA from 1 species